GGGCAGGGACAUGCAGCGUACAGGCCUGCAUGUUUCUCUUAUCAGAGAGUAGACUCAAGCUUUCCUUUGAAGAAGCUCUCUUGUUGUAUUGAUUUUCGCUGUGUGCUGGCGAUAGUCUUGUGUAUUUGAUUAUAAAAUCCAUACGGCUCUUCUGUCCAGUUAUCCCCACUAAUCAUUCCUAAUUCAGUCUAACAUUCUCCAAAC